UGGGGAAUUUUGGACAAUGGGCGAAAGCCUGAUCCAGCAAUGCCGCGUGUGUGAAGAAGGCCUUCGGGUUGUAAAGCACUUUUGUCCGGAAAGAAAUCCUUGGCUCUAAGUACAGUCGGGGGAUGACGGUACCGGAAGAAUAAGCACCGGCUAACUACGUGCCAGCAGCCGCGGUAAUACGUAGGGUGCAAGCGUUAAUCGGAAUUACUGGGCGUAAAGCGUGCGCAGGCGGUUUGCUAAGACCGAUGUGAAAUCCCCGGGCUCAACCUGGGAACUGCAUUGGUGACUGGCAGGCUAGAGUAUGGCAGAGGGGGGUAGAAUUCCACGUGUAGCAGUGAAAUGCGUAGAGAUGUGGAGGAAUACCGAUGGCGAAGGCAGCCCCCUGGGCCAAUACUGACGCUCAUGCACGAAAGCGUGGGGAGCAAAACAGGAUUAGAUACCCCUGGUAGUCCACGCCCUAAACGAUGUCAACUAGUUGUUGGGGAUUCAUUUCCUUAGUAACGUACUAACGCGUGAAGUUGACCGCCUGGGGAGUACGGUCGCAAGAUUAAAA
rnacentral:rRNA from 1 species